rnacentral:rRNA from 1 species
GAUGAACGCUGGCGGCGUGCCUAAUACAUGCAAGUCGAGCGAACAGACGAGGAGCUUGCUCCUCUGACGUUAGCGGCGGACGGGUGAGUAACACGUGGAUAACCUACCUAUAAGACUGGGAUAACUUCGGGAAACCGGAGCUAAUACCGGAUAAUAUAUUGAACCGCAUGGUUCAAUAGUGAAAGACGGUUUUGCUGUCACUUAUAGAUGGAUCCGCGCCGCAUUAGCUAGUUGGUAAGGUAACGGCUUACCAAGGCAACGAUGCGUAGCCGACCUGAGAGGGUGAUCGGCCCCACUGGAACUGAGACACGGUCCAGACUCCUAAGGGAGGCAGCAGUAGGGAAUCUUCCGCAAUGGGCGAAAGCCUGACGGAGCAACGCCGCGUGAGUGAUGAAGGUCUUCGGAUCGUAAAACUCUGUUAUUAGGGAAGAACAAAUGUGUAAGUAACUAUGCACGUCUUGACGGUACCUAAUCAGAAAGCCACGGCUAACUACGUG